rfam:Oryza barthii chromosome 7, whole genome shotgun sequence.
AAUAAGUGCAGCCAUGAGUUUCCGUGUUCAAUUUUGAUCGUCCAUCUUAUUUAAAAUUUUUUUAUAAUUAGUAUUUUUAUUGUUAUAAGAUGAUAAAACAUAAAUAGUACUUUACUCGUUACUUAUGUUUUUAAUUUUUUUUAAAUUUUUUUUAAAUAGAUGAAUGGUUAAAGUUGGACGUGGAAAAUUAUGGCUGCACUUAUU